UCACCUUUAGACCCUGUUGUUCCUGGUGGUCCCGGCAAACCAGGUGGACCCAUCAUACCUGGUGGACCAAUGUCACCCUUAAAGGUUAAAAAGCAGUCGAGAGAUGAAAAGAUUUGAAGGAAAUGGAAACCAAAAAAGAUAAACAUAACAAACCUGAUGACCUUUAUCGCCCUUUUCACCCGGAGGUCCUGGAGGUCCUUGAGCCCCUGCUGACCCAUCUAAUCCGUCGCGACCAAUAAGACCUUGUUCACCCUGCAAUUGGCGAGACAAGACGAGAUGAAAUAAUGUCAAACACAACUGAACCUUUGAUCCAGGAUAAGAGUAACAAUUUUACUCUUUGAUGCAACUUGUUAGAGACAAUGAGUUGAAUCAAUUUUCAAAUAUAAUUGAAAGUUUCCUCCUCGUUUCUCUUGGAUAUUGAUUGAUGCCAAAAUUGAAAGGCAUUUUGAAAAGCUCUUAAGACAAUAAAUAGACCAACCUGAGGUCCAGGUAAUCCAAUGUCACCCUUCUCGCCUUUACUGCCUGUUAAGCCAAUGUCACCUUUUGGUCCAACAUCUCCAGGAGGACCCGCUUUACCGGCUUUACCCUACAAAACCCAAUUAGAGUCAAUUAUUUGUCUUUAACUUGAAACCAAUAAAGGCAAUAAAUUGACAAAUGGUCAAUUUAAAUAGACCAAUUUGUUUUACUUACAACCAAAAA